AUAUUGACGAAAAGGUUUGGCACCUCGAUGUCGGCUUAUCGCAUCCUGAAGCAGUAGUAUGUUUUAAGGGUAAGUCUGUUCGCCUAUUAAAGCGAUACGUGAGCUGGGUUCAGAACGUCGUGAGACAGUUCGGUCCAUAUCUAAUAUAAGUGUUAGAAUAUUGAAAUUAUUUUUUUUAGUACGAGAGGAUCAAAAAAAUUAUACCACUAAUAUAUCAAUUAUUAUUUGUUGUAAUGUUGAGUAGUUAAGUAUAAAAUUUUAAUUGUUGAAAGAAUAUAAAUAAGAAAAUUUAAUUAAAAAUAAUAUUCUAAUCAAUUUAAAGAAUAAAACAAUAAUUAGAAAAAUUAUUUUAUAGGUUUAAUAUAUAUUUAUAGUAAUAUAUUUAGUAUAUAAUUCCUAAUAAGUUGAAUAUUUAAUUAU
rnacentral:ncRNA from 1 species